AUACAUUUUCUCAAUUCAAUCUUUCCCGCUGCUCAAACAGUUCUAAGUUACUCUAAUUGUGCAAAGAAAAUGAAAUGAUUAUGCGUGAAAACAUUAUCCUAAAUGGCCUCCUCGGUGGCUAAAUAAGAUCAUAAUGUUAGAGGAACCAGUUACAUAAAAAGGGUAUUUAGGGGAGGCUCCACUAAUCUCUUAGUUUACUUCUUCCUCUUCUUUGGAGGCUGGAGGGCUUCCUCAUCUUCAUCGUCCUCAUCCUCAUCUUCGUUUUCUACUCCGUCAACAUCUUCCUCGUCCUCUUCUCCG
rnacentral:lncRNA from 1 species